GAAAGAAAGAGCAAGAGAGAAAGAAAGGAAGGAGAAAGAAAGGAAAAAAAAGCAAGCAAACAAGAAAGAAACAAAAGAAAGAGGAAGGAAGGAGAAAGAAAGAAAGAGCAAGAGAGAAAGGGAAGGAAGGAAGGAGAAAGAAAGAGAAAGAAAGAAAAAGCAAGCAAGCAAGCAAGCUAACUCUAAUUCUUUUGGGCAUAUACAAGUAUCACACCAAGAAGAUUGUGCUUUUAGUCCUGGAAAAUUAAAAUUAAUAAUAACAUACUAUGUAUAUGAUUGCAUAUUAAAAACAGAACCAUAUUGUCAACUUCUCAAAGAAGAACAUAGACUCUUUCAGAGUGGCAACCAAGUCCCGUGUGUGUUUAUGACCUAUGUAACACAUUGCUCAAUACAUAGUAGGUAAUUGGUACUCUUUGGCUGAUUUGUUUCGUAUAUUACUAUAAACUACCUGUCAUUUAGUGAAAAGGCUAAUAUUUGUUCUUAGCCUAUCCACGUCAUUUCAAUGUUAGCAACAUCAUGUAUCACGGUCUUCAAUCUCUGAUUGUACUUAAGGCUGAUCAUAAAUAGAAAGGCUUUGGGCUCUGGGACUAUGAUUAUCAGCUAGCGUAUUCUAUCUAAACAGUGAAACCAUUGUGUGCAUAGGAAGAAAGAGCAUUUGCUAGGCUAUCUCACUGC
rnacentral:lncRNA from 10 species